CGGCGGCCGACUGAGAUGUGUCGGUCGGACGUAUUCUUCCCGACCGACUGGACCUGGGAGCCUGAUGGCCGACUCACAUAAGACUCGCCGACCAACGGAGGGGCCCGACGCCACUCAGCUAGCCACCGACCUAGGGUCGGUCGACUCCUCCGAUCGCCGUACAGCCGCCAGAGUUUGUCAGUCCUGACAGCCGCAUGCGGCAC
rnacentral:lncRNA from 1 species